CACGUAGGGCGCAAGCGUUUGUCCGGAAUUAUUGGGCGUAAAGAGCUCGUAGGCGGUCUGUUGCGUCCGCUGUGAAAACUCGGGGCUUAACCCCGAGCCUGCAGUGGAUACGGGCAGACUAGAGGUAGGUAGGGGAGAAUGGAAUUCCCGGUGUAGCGGUGAAAUGCGCAGAUAUCGGGAGGAACACCGGUGGCGAAGGCGGUUCUCUGGGGCCUUACCUGACGCUGAGGAGCGAAAGCGUGGGGAGCGAACAGG
rnacentral:rRNA from 1 species